rnacentral:RNase_P_RNA from 1 species
UGAGCCAGCUGGGUGAUCGCGGCGACCGGACGCGCGUCCUGUUUAUUCAGGGCGUGGCUGCGGAAGUCGAGGAAAGUCCGGACUCCACAGAGUACGGUGGUUGCUAACGGCAACCCGGGGCGACCCGCGGGCAAGUGCAACAGAAAGUAGACCGCCGCGUUUCCCGCCCGCGAUUUAGCGCGGUGCGGGGCUACGAGGUAAGGGUGAAACGGUGCGUUAAGAGCGCACCAGCACCCCAAGUGAUUGGGGUGGCUGGGUAAACCCCACCGGGAGCAAGGCAUCAAGACCCGCCACGUGUUUCGGGUCCGAUCAGGCGUUUUAAGGGCUGCUCGCCCAAGCCUGAAGGUAGCUGCUUGAGGCUAGCCAAUGGCUAGCCCAGAUGGAUGAUCACCGCGGCAUCACUGCGGUGGUGCCGGUAGACAGAAUCCGGCUUACAGGCUGACUCAUUCG